GACAUGUUCCGUCUCAGCACUGACCCGCCCGAUCAUCGAGAGAUGUGACGGCAGGCCCAUGUGUGUCUACCCUUUGUGAAACGUACACCUUUGCUUCGGCAGCACCUUGCGGGCAACCGUUCGGGUAAGGCUGCCAGAGGCUCACAACAAAACUAGUUGAUGAAAUGUCAUGCUGUCUGAUACAACGCAAUUUGAGAAAUCAAAUACUGUUA
rnacentral:misc_RNA from 1 species